UCACCACAGUCCUAUGAUGUAGAUAUUAUUAGUAUGCCCAUUUUACAGAUCAUGAGCAUGAAGCCCAAAGAGGUUAAUUAGCUUGCCUGGGAUUAUCCUCUCUUUUUUCUUUUUUCUGAGAUGGAUCUCGCUCUGGUGCUCAAGCUGGAGUGCAGUGGCGUGAUCAUAGCCCACUGUAGCCCUCACCUCUCAGUCUCAAGCGAUCCUCCUACCUCAGCCUCUUGAGUAGCUGGGACCAUAGGCACGCCAACAUGCCCAAGUAGAGAUGGGUUCUCCCUAUGUCACCCAGUCUGAUCCCAAACUCCUAGGUUCAAGCAAUGCCCCUACCUCAGCCUCCCAAAGUGCUGGGAGAUUACAGGAGUGAGCCACCAGGCCUGGUCCAUCCUCUUAAUAAAUGGUACGGCUGAGAUUUGAACCUAGGGGCCUGACUCAGGAGUGAGUACUGCUUACCAGGAAGGGAAUGCGGUCAGCAUGACAACAAAGGCAUCUCUGUCCUCCUUAAAUGCAGCACCAACUCUGUAAACACACAGCAGGAGCUCUAGAUCGACCACGUUUGUAUGCACUUACUGAGUCCGCGUUUCCAUGUCACCUUCAGGAAGAGUGGAGCUGGCUUGGGUGAGGAGAAGGAAGAAAAGAGGAGACUUCUGCCCUUGAGAGAUUCUAUUUUAAUUUUUAAGAAAACACUGAACAGACCAAGCCCUGGAUUUCAAGAUCAGUUUUCGAGGUCUCCAGACAUGAGGCAGUCGUCUGAAAAGGGAGACAUGACAGAGGAGUCUGACCUCUGUGUGGCCUCCUCGCUCUCCCUGCACUGCUUUCAGAUCUCCCAAUGAAUAGGAAAGGAGGGGAGACCUGCAUCUGUGGAGGGAGCAUCCCCUAAUCCCGAUCAGGUAUCAACACCGAUAGGCUUCCAAAGGUGGCAAAAGGGGCCACAUUCUCUAGCACUAAGACAAUGGUGUUAAAUCUAAAUUUCUUGAUAACCAAACUAAGGCAUAAAGUCAGUUAACUAUGUCUAGUUCUAAUAUAACACUCUGGAAUGUGCCCUGUGUUAUCUUAGCCUAGCUUUCUACAAAUAAUGAAUCACAAUAUUCCACAGUGCAAGUUCCUCCCACUGAAGGCCUCUUUGGAGAAAGGAGUUGGCUGUGACAAAGGCUGCAGUAUAUAGAGGAUGAUCGUUAUGGUGGUGAUGACAACAAUACUGAUAGAUCAGACAACAGCAACAAUGACCGUGAGGGCAAUGAAGGCCAUGAGUUGUCAUGCAACAUCUAAUACAGGUCAGGGGUGAACACUUUUGUGCUGACUGCUUUUCAAGCAUGAUUGUGUUAUAUCUUCACAACAACGAUGAGAGGUGGGUAUCAGCACAAUGCCCCCUUUGAAGAUGAGGAGGAGUUAGAUGAGAAAGGCCAAGUCUCUGGGGCAAGGUGCCAUAAUUUGGGUCGUGAUAUGAACCCAGGCCAAUCUGACUCCAAAAUUUCACAUUCUUAUCCACUGCUCAUCUGUCUCUUCCUAAAAGAAGACCUUAUUAUAGAAAGUUCUAAAAACAGGAUAUGCUGAUUAGUCAAAUUUUCUAGUAAAUACAUAGUAAUCAGUUCCAAAUACUCAAUUGAAAAAAAUUGCCAAAAUGUUCAUGGUCCCCAGUCCUGCCUUAGUAAAUAUAGCAUACUAAAUAUAAAUCUAGUUCUAUUUUAUUAAUAGACACAUGAUGGACUAUCUCCCAGCUAUUUGCCAGAACAAUCUGUUCUUAUUGUAGAGUAUUUCAGAUGUAGGUACAGCACUGAGGAGGACCAUACACUCAGCCCAGGGCAUGCUCUGAAACUAGGGUAUUAAACAUUAAGAUCUAAAAAUAUGUGUUUUAUUAUUUGCCUUUUUCUUGUAAAACUGCAGUCAAAAUUAUUUAAGUUGAUAAGUCGAAGUUUCACUGUAGUAAACUGUACCAAUGGCUGCCCGUGAUAUGCCCAGAGCAUAAGAGAGUUGAUGAGAAACAGCAAAAAAAAAAAAAAAAAAAAAAAAAA
ensembl:lncRNA